GUCCUAUCAGUGAUACAUAUCCUAGAGAGGAGGCUUGAAUUGACAUCCCUGUAGCCUCCAGAUUGUUAAUUUUAACAAUAUGAGUAAACUAGACAGAAUUUCCAUGUUCAAUGUGUUUGGGGCAUGCCAGAGAGGGGAUGAUGCAAAGGGGGCAUGCAGAAACAGCCAAUGAGGGUUGUUUCAUUGCUGAGGUAACCAGGCUACCCUGGAGAAAGGAACAGACUUGAUUCAUACGUGCAUCCUGAUGAUGCUGGUGGCACUUCCUUCAAGUUCAAGAUCUGGACUCAGUUUGAUUGGCUUCCAGUGGAUAAAUUCCCACCCCCAGAGGAAAGAUGGAAAUUUUGGAGAAGAAUGAUUGAUUAUUGCCUGAGAGAUCUGGACUGCGUAAAUGAAUUAAAGAUGCAGUUCUGCAAUCUCUUUCCAUUUCCUUUAGCAGACAUGACAGGGAAGAUUCCUGGGAGAUCUGAAUGAAUCCUCUUGCUGUAUGCCCUAGAUCUUGCUGCCUAGGAGAUGUACAACUGGCAUAUCAAAUAGGUGGAGAGUACCUGAACUGUGUCUAAAAAUAGGAACUCUGUGAAAUUCAAAGGGAGAAACUUGAAAUAGUCUGAAUAACAAACAGAUUUUCAUAUCAAUUUUACUUAAGAAGAAGAGUUAAGAAUAUCCUGAGUCCCUUUUCAUCUUGACUACAGUAAACCGAGGAAGCAAUCAUGGACAACAGAAGAGGAAAGGUAUCACAGAACACUUUUCAAAAACAUGAUAUGAUUUUGAGAUCAUUUAAUCAAAAUUAUUCAGAAGUAAUGCUUUUUCCAGCAUUAAAUCAGAAUGUUUUCCUGCUAAAAAUGGUUAUGCUACUGAUUUCACGUCUGCUAUGCCAACAUGGAUAGGUAGCAUUGCUGCUGCCUGUAUGCUGUGGUCAUCUAUUCUCCCUGAGGCCUCUCUUCACUCUUACUGGCUGAGUGAAUGAGUAACUGAUGGAUCUGUGUCUCUGGAUCACAGCCAGCACCCUGGUCAACCCUCCUAACUCGUCUACUUCAGUCAUUUAACAGAAAGGCCGUAACCACAGUGCAACUGGGAUGUGGCUGCAGGUCUUGUUUUGAUUGUCUUUGAGCACAGAAUGUCCUGCUGUGCAUGCUUUUGUUCUCCUUCAUGUAUCCUCCAACAGUAUCCAGCUAAUUAAUUGCACAGUAGGCUGUGAUGCCCCUAGUGCUUCACAUAAUGAGUAGGGCUGCUUUUCUUUGACCAGUAAUAUCAUUUAGAAAUUUAUAUUUCAAGAUUGACAAGAUGCUUUUGGUAAGUUCUGUAUGCUUGUUUUAGGAAAAAAAAAAAAAAAAAAAAAAAAAAAGUGCCAUUGAAAUAGAAAAGCUAAAAGAAGAAUCUUGAAGCUUACCAAGUCAGCAGUUCUGGUUGAAAAAUACAUUCUGAAUGAGCUUUAAUUCUAACUGCCUUUUAAAGCCUCUUUAGACAAAGACAGUCAAUGAAACCCUACGUGAGCUGUCAUCUGGGAAACUCAAAAGCAUAAUAAAUAAUGAUUUGAAUGGUAAGUGACAUGUUGGUAUAUGUUGGUGUGAUGGCUUAAGUUUCUGAUUUGACUAAUUUGAACUCAAAAUUUACUGUGUGCUGUUAUCUUUUAUUGUUUGCUUAUUUUGGGAGUGAAAGCCGAGGAUGAGUAUAAUGAAUUUACAUUCUUUUGAACACGGUGGAUGUUAAUUUUUUGCUAUUAAUACUAAAAUUCAUAUUACACCAAUUCUAUUUGUUGCAUACAGAACACAUUAAAAACCUUCCAACUGUGUACGAUAAUAUCUACAUUCUCUUCAGAGAGGUGAAGGCGUGAAGGGAAGGAGUUGUGCUGGUUACUAAAACUGCUAUGUGUUGUCACUGUGUGUUUCAGGGAAUGAAAUUCCUUACACCCAAUAGAAGAAAUAUUGAAAUCUGCGAGGACUCUAGGGAAGGCAGUUCCAUUUUUAUCUGCAGAAAGUUCUGUCUUCUACAGAGACAUGUGGCACCUCAUGUCUGGAACUCUGGGAGCUCUACCCUCACUCUGGAGAGGCAAAAACAUCAUGCCAAGCAGGCUUUGUUUCCAGCUCAUUUUCAGAAUAGAGCAGUAUGCAAUCUUGUCAUUGUCAGGGAGUGGUCUCCAGGCACUGAUCAUGGCAGCAGGUGAAACAUAAAACAAAACUACUUCUGGCCCUUGUGACCUAUUUUGUUAUUGUUUUGCUACAUAGAUGCUAUCUACAACAAUGGAAAUCUAACAAGGUUGAACGUUCUGAGAAAAGUGUAAUUAUCUUUAUAAAUAUUGCAAUAUGCCUAUAAGACAGUGUUUUUAUUACACAGCAUUAAUUUUAAAAGUAAUCAAAUCUCCCAGGAGUGCAAUGUCCUGUGAAGUAUCAUAAGACCAACAGAAAACUUAACACAUCCAUUUUAUCUUUACUGUUUUCUCUGUUAUGCCCAUACAUUAUAAAAUGCAACAAAGCAUGUAAGAGAUCUGGCAGUCUCACAUCUAUCCAUACUGAGGUACAAUGCAGGGAAUCAAGAAUGGAGAAGCUGCCUGAUUUCUAAACCAUAUUGCUUUUAUAGACUUUUACAUAAAUCCUUUUUUCUUCUGACUCCGUAUUUACCAACUCAAGGGUCUAUCUCAUUGUUCCACUCUUGCACUAACAUUCCACAGCAAUUCACAGCAAACUAAUAAAAUAUGGCAAAAAAGCUUGUUAGAUAUUGUAUGUGAAACAUAGUUCGGUCCUAAACACUCUCCUGAAAGAACCUCAUUCCUCUCAAGCAAAUAUCAAUGUGAGUAACGUUAUCUGCAGCAAAACAAAGCAACCAACUUCUUCAAAAUGAUGGUAAGUAAAUGACAUAGCACAAAUACCAUUCUAUGGGAAAGCAAGAUUUUUCAUACAAAGUGCAUAUAGAGCCACCUCCG
ensembl:lncRNA